ACACGCAUGACACACUGCAUAUCAAUAAGCGGAGGAAAAGAAACUAACAAGGAUUCCCUUAGUAACGGCGAGUGAAGCGGGAAGAGCUCAAAUUUGAAAUCUUCAAGGUUCUACCUUGACGAAUUGUAGUUUAAUAGAAGUGUUUUCUGUUAGUAGGAGUGGCAAAAGUUCUUUGGAAUAGGACAUCAUAGAGGGUGAGAAUCCCGUAUUUGGUCAUUCCUCCUAGCGUUGUGAUACACUUUCAACGAGUCGGAUUGUUUGGGAAUGCAGUCCAAAAUGGGUGGUAAAUUUCAUCUAAAGCUAAAUAUUGGCGAGAGACCGAUAGCGAACAAGUACCGUGAGGGAAAGAUGAAAAGAACUUUGAAAAGAGAGUUAAACAGUACGUGAAAUUGUCAAAAGGGAAGCGUUUGACACCAGUGUUGUUUUUCCGAAAAUCAAUUACGAAUGUUUUAGUUUUUGAGGAGUUAUGACUUCAUUGGCUUGCUCCUUUCUUUAUGAAACUUUCUUAAUGCACUUUUCGGUUAACAAGUCAACAUCAAUUUCUUUUGUUGUAAAAGGGUAUGAGGAAGGUGGCUUUCUUUUCGGAGAAAGUGUUUAUAGCCUUGUGCCUCUGCAAUCGGAGAGAUUGAGGUCUGCAGCGUAGAUCCUUCGGGGUUAGAUACAUUUGUGCUAAGUUAUAGCUUUUCAUAGACAACUUGUUGACUAUGUUUAGUCUUGUAGCUUACUCGCUUACUGCUAUUUUACCUACGCUUAGGAUGUUGACUGAUAUGUAGUCGUA
rnacentral:rRNA from 1 species